AAAAAAAUAAAAAAGAAAUCUUAAAGAAAUAUAAAUAUAAACCUUUAAAGAAAUAAUAAUAAUCUUAAAGAAAUAUUAGAAAUAAAAAAUUUUAAAAAAAUAAUAAAUAAUCAUAAAAAAAUAAUAAAAUAGAAAUUCUAAAUAAAUCCUAAAUAAAUCUUAAUAAAAUCCUAAUUUAAUCUUAAUUAAAAGCUUAAUGAAUCUUCAUCCAAUCAAAGUUUAAAUCUUAAUGAAACUCUAAAUCCUAGACUAAUCCUAAUACAAUGUGAUAAAAUCCUAAUCAAAUCCUAAAUAAAUCCUAAAUAAAACUUAAUCAAAUCCUAAGUUAAUCUUAAUUAAAAGCUUAAUGAAUCUUCAUCCAAUCAAAGUUUAAAUCUUAAUGAAACUCUAAAUUCUAGACUAAUCCUAAUACAACGUGAUAAAAUCCUAAUCAAAUCCUAAAUAAAUCCUAAACAAAUCUUAAUCAAAUCUUAAUCAUAUUCAAAAUAAAUCCUAAAAAAAUCCUAAUCAAAUCCAAAUAAAAUCCUAAUCAAAUCCAAAUAAAAUUCUAAUUAAAUC
rnacentral:lncRNA from 1 species